rnacentral:lncRNA from 1 species
AAAGCAAAAGCUUAGCUCUUGCAAUUACGAGACCAACCAUUCUGUGUAAACAUGCUAUCCCAAUUGCUAAUAUUAUGUCCACACAUGGAAUCGAUAUAUGCAAAGUCCCACGUGCAGUAAGUAAUAUGUUGAGUGCAUCCAAUAUUUUCAAUGCACAUUUACUCACGUAACCAGGCAAUACCUUAAAGUAAGUGGGUGUGCAGUUCCUGCAUCUCCACCAAUCACUACUCCACGACUUUGGUUUGUAUAAAUUGACUUUAGUUCAUUUUCUUUACUUGGUCUACCAUCUGUGGUUAUCAUCUGCCGAUGGUUUUGACAGCAAGCUUCUUCAUAGUGCUACUCUUUUCACCAAAGAAAUCCCAGUUGGAUCACCACCCCACUCUUCAAACACAACCAACAAGUUUCCAGUUGGGUUCAGCCAAGCGCGAGGAACAUGAUACCUGAGAUUUGUGGUCAGUAAUCAGUCAUUUAUUCGAUUCUUUUGCAUGCUUUGACUGAAGUGGACAAAAAGGCAGGUGUUUCAUUACCAUUUUUGAGAAGGCUCCCCACAAUUAGUCUGGCAUUUCUUCUCGUUGUAUGUCCCUCUGUAAUCGCACCAAUCACAAGAACCAUAUGCCUUAUAGGCAGGCCAAUAUCUGCCAAUGCUUUGUCCAUUGAUCCAUAUCUGACCUUUGCCCAUGCUACUCAUGUCUAAUGCCAAUGGCUCGUUCCCAGCUGGAGCAUUAAAGAAAGCCUGGAAGAUGACAAAGAUUGAGUGAGAAAAUAGUCUCAAGCAUGAGAGGAAAGAAGAUGAACUUUAGGAUAACAUGUUUCUGUGUUGCAAGCGGUUCUGACCUUGUACCAAGUCAAGGGCUGCCUUGUAGAUGCACCCCCCCACUUAACUGAAGAACUGCCACUAAGUGUAUAGAUGCUCAGGGAUUCACCUCUAAGGCCGAUCUACACACACAAACAUGGAACUCAGUAACCAGUAAGCAAGUUUUAGUCAGAGAGUCAGCAGGUAGGAAGAGUUGAUUGGAACCUGGUAAAUCCAUUUCUGUGAUGAAAGGUCUCUCUUUCCUUCAUUGAGACCGUCCAGGGUCACUGGACCAAGAACACCAGCAUUCCAUGUCUCAAAGUGGUUGCCAAUAUUCUGAAACAGAUAAAGAACAGGAAUACGGAGUCUAAACAUCCAUCUUGUGUGUGUAUAAUUGUAUAGGGUUAUUGGUAUGAUAUUUCAACUUUUGGAUCAAUGGCCAGGAAAUAUUUCGCAACAAAGAAUGUACUCACAGGAAGACCAACAGCGACACUUAGAAUCGAGAUUUUGUUGCUUCCUGCCCACAACUUCACAUUUCCUGUGAAUCUUAUCUUUGGAUUGUCCAAACUACCAUAGACAGUCCCUGCCAGAAGAAAAGAUAAGCAAAAAACAAAUCGGAACCUCACCAAACGUCGAGCAUAUCAUCAAGAAACAAUUCUUCACAAGGCAAAGCCACUCACCGGCCAGUUCUCCAUUGAUGAAAACAUGCAUAGAAUGACCUGCCGACAUCACAGUUAGGAAAGGGUAUCGACCAUUCUUCAAGAAUUGCUCAUUUGAGUCUAUGUUAACACUGAAGAGUGGAGAUCGUGAGUCAUUGAGUGAUAGAGGUCAUUGAUUCUGUCUCAAAUAGAGAAGCUGCAAAGGAACGUCUACUCACUAUGUAGUGUACCACAGGUAGUCUGUCCGAUCCCAUGUCAUGCUUAUCUGCUCCACCAAUCCAUCUUUUGAGAAUGAUUUAUCCCUCAGUGAGUGGGUAUCCUCACUGAAGGACUCCCAAGAAAAUCCGCCAACCCAAGUCAUAUUAAUCUGCGACGUCGGAGCUCCUACCUGUGUUUAUCAUUAGCAUCUUUGUGUUUAAGACAGUCAUGAAAAUUCAACCAUGGAAGUCCUAUUCCAUCCAAGAAAAUUUGGAAUACAUAGCGAGAGAUACAUUUUCCUGAGCCAAGAAACAAACAACUCAACGGAGAGGUGAGUUUUAUGAGUAUAGGAAUAGAAUGCAACCGUGACCAUUAAUCAUCAAAGAUUUCUCACCUUUGCAGUGUUGAACACUGCGGUUUUGCAGUCUGGAAGAAUGCUGACGGACCAAGCUGGAAUAUGAUACUUCAUUCCGUUGAAAGUAACAGGUGCAUAAGAACGGGAGUUGAAAUUAGAAAGGAAUGCAGCACAAGCGCCUGACUUCGAUCUGUAUACAUGCGCCUGCAAGAAGUCGAACGUAGAAAAGUUCCAAAAUGCCAAAUCAUCGAAAAUAUUCUUGCAAAUUUUACAGCAAGAUAUAAGAAUUGAACCUCCUGAUAUUUUCCGAGAUUUGUCACUGUGGGAUCCCCAGAGACGAGAGCUGGUUCACACGAUUUGAUUGCUUUAUGCAGGUCUGUCAGAUGUCCCCAUUUCGGUUGCCUUAACAGACCUGAGAAAGAUUACAAUAUGUUUAUCACCAGAUAGAGGGAAUGGUAAUAGUCGGCAUCAAAUAGAUUUGUAUUGCAUCAUCAGAUGCUUGACCAAUGAGACUGCACAGUGUCUUCUUCGUAGAAGAGGAACAAGAUUUUAGCACCAAAAAGAAGACAUAGGAAAAGCAUAAGCAAACUGAGUGGGAACUGUAUUACCUCUAAUCUUCUCUUAAUCUUGAAAGAACCCAAGUAUUUGACCUAAAUAAUUCUUUGUGUGUGGUAGAUGAUCAAGCCAACCAUUCAUGCCCUUUUCCCCCACCCACGGACAAACUUCUAAACAAGAUGUUUGAUAUAAUGUUUAUGUAUGUUUGUAUCUUUUGACAUGUUCGCACAACAUAUAGAGGGACGAUCGAAUACUUAAUUACCCCAUUUCAGUUAGGUUUGGUGGUCGCUUUUGGCUUAUAAAUAAAAAUUAUAUUAUGUGGACACUUGCGAGAGAUAUUCGAUCUGUAUUGGACCAUUUUGACCCUUUGUUGUGCAACCAUUCAGAACUUGUAAAGUCAUGUUGAUAAUUUGCAUUGGUUAUGAGGUGUUUUUUGGAAUGUUUGUUUAUGGAUUCCGAGUGAGGCAUUUUCUCUAACUCGUUUUCUCUUUUGUAGGUCCUAAGAGACCAUGGGAGGUUUCGGAAAGACUGACCUUUACGGACGGACACACAAGGGUAUUGCACAACUUUGGCAAAGCCAACUAACCUCAUUUUAGUUAGGUUUGGUGGCCGUUUUAGGCUUAUAAAUAAAAAUUGUAUUAUGUGGACACUUGCGAGAGAUAUUCGGUCUGUAUUGGAUCAUUUUGACUCUUUGUUGUGCAACCGUUCAAAACUUGUAAAGUCUGUUGAUAAUUUGCAUUGGCUAUGAGGUGUUUUUUGGAAUGUUUGCUGAUGGAUUCUGAGUGAGGCGUUUUCUCUAACCCAUUUUCUCUUUUGUAGGUCUUAAGAGACCAUGAGAGGUUUUGGAGAGGCUGACUUUUGCGAACGGAUAUGCAAGAGUACCGCACGACUUAAACAAAACCAACUAAAUCCAUCAUCAAAAGCAUGACCUCCAACGGGGCGAAUUCAUAAGAAGUCACAAGUUAGACCAAAACCAUAUCAUUACAACGUGAAAAUUAUUACAAAUGUUAGAAAAAUGGCAUACCGUAUUCAUCGAUUGGGGCAUCAUAGUCAUAGCUGGUCGCAAUAAAAGGACCACCAGCCGUCCUACCGAAGUUGGUUCCUCCAUGGUACUGCAGUUGACGUAAACAUGCAAAUUCGUUUACUUCAACAUGAUGGACAGCAAUCAGUAAUUACUGAAACAACUGAGGUAGAACAUACAAUUUCUUACCAUAUAGUAGUUAACGAAGGAACCACCUUUCGCUAUAAACCUUGCGACAGCAAAAGCCAUGUCCUGAACAGGCCGGUGAGGAACUGGACCCCCGAAACCAGUGAACCUAUUAACAUAGAAUACAUAGAAUAAAUUCACUGGAUAGAUUAAUUUCUUGUGAAAAUUUAUAUGAAUUCAAAUGUGAAGAAGUAGCGGUUACCAGCCAGUCCAAGCUUCAGUCCACAUGGUCGGUUUAUAAGGCUUGUUUGGUGAGAAGUAAUCGCAGUAGAACCCAUUGCAGGCAUUGAUCUUUAAAGACAAAAGCCCAAAAAAAGAGAUCACAAUAAGUCACCCAAGCUGGUCUAACAUGCAACUACAAACCCUCUAAUUAGGGCAGCUGGAAUUUAAGUAGAUAAAAGUCAUGUUGGACUUGACAAGGUAGAGAAGGAACAUGAACUUGGGGUUCUUCCUGAUGUGGUAGAACAAGAAAACCGAAAGCUUGGACUUACCACUGGAUCAGGUGCAUCAUCUUGCUUGCACAUGACCCACGGCACACCGGUGUUGAGACCCACUGCCAUUUGAGCAGCCCAGCUUAGGUAGUUCUUGGCUGCAGCGCCGUCAUAGUACUCCUGUAUACUAUAUUCGUUUUCAAUCUGCUCAAGUUAGACAAAGAGCAUGGAAGAACAGAAAGCGAAUUAGAUGAGAUCUUUGGGAGCUGAUCAACUCGAUGACACAUAAAAGCUAACGAAUUGAUGAAAGCAAAGAAGGAAUGGAUUCGAUGAUACCUGAGAGAGGAUAAUGGGACCACCCUGUGAUUCAAAUAAUCCUUCAGACUUCAUCAUGGCGACAAUCUUCUCUGUGAACUUCGCCAUGGCCGCCUUUUACAUGAAUAGACCAAUUAGCAAUUGCUCGGUUAGAGGAGAUCGAGUAUAAACAUGUAAAGAGAAGUUCCUGUGGAUUCUUACCUUGAAAGGUCCAUUGUCGCUCCUGAAAGUGAUGCCAGGAACAUAUUUUAACCAGACAGGAAAUCCCCUGUUUUACAAAGACAAGAUGAACAACAGAACAGCAUCAUCAGAUUGCAUGAUUAGGCUUUUGAUUCCACAUAGAAGAAUUAAUUGAAGACCUCGACCUCGUACCCAAAGUUCCAUUCGGCACAAACAUAAGGACCAAUCCGGAGAUGAACAUAGAGGCCGGCCUGCUUCACCAGCUUGAUGAAGCGAACCAGGUCGUAAUUACCACCAAAAUAAUACUGCCAAAGAUCAAGAAAAGCAACAAAUUGAGGCACACUAUGGGAAGGAGCAGUAGCCUUAGACGAGAGGGCUGGGAAAGGUUGGGUGAUCUCCGAACCUGGCCAGGGGACGGCUCGUGGCCGUUCCAGAACACAUAGGUCUGGAUAACAUCCAAGCCGCCAUCUUUAGCCUUCUGGAUGAGAUCCGGCCACAUCUGGAGACGAUCCAAUCGACAAAGUUCAGGUUUUGACGCGGUAGAAUAACAGUGCACGAACAGCUCACCAAAAAGGCCACAUUUCCCACAGAAUUGGAGACCUUACCUCCGGGGUGCUCCUGGGAUAGUGAAUGGAACCGGAGAUUAGAAUCCUCCUCUGCCCAUUGACGAUGAUAGCCUUGUGGUCGUAGGAAACGGAGGCAUCGACCGGAGAGGAAUGCCACGGAGACGACACCACCACCAACGCCACCGCCAGUAGCAGCAGCGUCGACAGUCCGCGGCCGCACCCAAGCGUUAUAAGCUCGAGGCUCAUGGUGGCCGGUCGGUCUUACCUUCAGAGGAGUCUCCUUUAGUGUUCUGGAUGUAUAAUAUGUGAAUGAUGGAGAUUCGUGCGCGCUGUUCUUCCGUCUUCUCCUCCGCUAGAGAAGUUCCGACGGAACUAUUGAGCAGUAGCGUUACUGCAACAAGCACACACCGAGGAAGAGAGAGGGAGAUCAAAGAGGAGGGAGGGAAGAGGGCGGACGUGGAGUGGGAGCGCGGGGGCGGGGAGGACGGGGGAGGGCGAUGUGCCUCUUGCGGUAUAAAUACCCGACGGGCGCAAGCGAGCACAGGAUUGGCGCUGGAAUACGCGGGUCCCAAAGCGCCAGCCACGUCAACGUUUUCUUCCAUUCCCCCUGAACAGGAAAAAAUCAAAUGGACCGAAGCGUGGGGCCAUCUGCUUGUAAGAAAGUGGACCAAUUAAGAUAAAGCUUUGAUAGUUGGCAAGGAUCGACAGAGUCAAAAUAUUUUGUUAAAAUUAUUAUUUGAGAAAAUUAGGACAGAUAGGUUAUGUGGAAUAAUAUUAGAAACUAAUAAUAUUAGUUUAGUUUUGUAAGAAAAUUUUAUGUUGAUGAUAUUUUUUAGUUGUCUAAUAUAUCGAUAUACAUUAUGAUAGUAAGCGAGUUAGAUAACAUAUCCAUAACCAUGAUAUAAAUAUUUUUUUAUAAAAUUACAUAUACAUGAUAUACCUAAAGGGUUUGAUGAGAUAUAUCAUAUUAUUAUUUUAUUAUGUGAAUAACAAUUUUUUUAUAUGUUAAUUUAGUUUCACAUAAGAAAUGUAUAAAGAUUUAGAUAAGAGUAUGAUAAUUGUACCAUUCUUAUCGUGAGUUUAGAGGGAUUUAACUCAAAGUAUCUCUCUCAGACGAAGAUUAUAUAUGUGGCAGAUAAGGCUAAGCCAGAUAGGAGAGAAAGGUAUGUUUUUAAAUAAAUAAAGCUUUUUAAGCAAUGGAAUAUUGUCAAAAUUAAAAUAAUAUGAAUACUAUAUUUUUGAAAAGCAAAUAAAGUUUCUUGAGUUGUAAUGAUAUCCAUUUUAAGCAAAUAUAAUUGCUGCAUUAUAUUUUUAAUGUCGAUGCCAAUAUUUAUAGUCACUGAUUAAAACAUGCCACAUAUAAUAUUUUCUUUCAAUACCAGAAAGAUAUUUAUAGUAUGAAUGAAAGGAUAAAUUUAGCUGAAUAUGGAACAUGAUGAACCAUAUCAUAACCAAUCCUCAAUUGAACUAAAACUUAAUCCUUACAGAAAUAGUUUGUAAUCAUCCUAAACUGGUCUAAAUAGAUUUCUAUUUUAGAUUAAACUGGCCUAGACAGUGCCUGACCCAGUCUGAUCCUUGAUAAGUGGUCAAGCCAAGCUACUGAAAUGUUGACCUCUGUGUUUGUAACUCAUGAUGAAAUUCUAAGUGACAUUAACAGUUUCUUCUUUAUAGUUGAUAAAUCAUUGUCAUCUCUUUCUAAAAAUAAAAAUAAAAAAAGCUGGGAAUAAAAAUAUCUAUAACAAUGCCUUUUUCCUGGCACCAGAUUGUAUCUUUACCACUAAUUUCUUGUUUCUUGCACUGUUGCACAUGAUCAUCAUGCAUCUUGUUAGACAUCUCAAGUGGUUGCCACAUAGUUCAGAGCUCAGAAGCACAGCCACACAAUUGCAUCAGGAAUCAAAAUGCUUAUAAGCUUUGCAGAAGCAAUGGAAAAGGCAAAGGAUGAUAACUUAAUAUGGAUCAAAAUGCUUAUAAGCUUAAGUAGUACAGAAGCAAAAGCUUAGCUCUUGCAAUUACAAGACCGACCAACCAUUUUGUGUAAACAUGCUAUCCCAAUUGCUAAUAUUAUGUCCACACAUGGACUCAAUAUAUGCAGAAUCCCACGUGCAGUAAGUAAUAUGUUGAGUGCAUCCAAUAUUUUCUAUGCACAUUUACUCACGUAACCAGGCAAUACCUUAAAGUGGGUGUGCAGUUCCUGCAUCUCCACCAAUCACUACUCCACGACUUUGGUUUGUAUAAAUUGACUUUAGUUCAUUUUCUUUACUUGGUCUACCAUCUGUGGUUAUCAUCUGCAGAUGGUUUUGACAGCAAGCUUCUUCAUAGUGCUACUCUUUUCACCAUUGAAAUCCCAGUUGGAUCACCACCCCACUCUUCAAACACAACCAACAAGUUUCCAGUUGGGUUCAGCCAAGCGCGAGGAACAUGAUACCUGAGAUUUGAGGUCAGUAAUCAGUCAUUUAUUCGAUUUUUUCGCAAGCUUAAUGGGGUGGAAAAAAAGGCAGGUGUUUCAUUACCAUUUUUGAGAAGGCUCCCCACAAUUAGUCUGGCAUUUCUUCUCGUUGUAUGUCCCUCUGUAAUCGCACCAAUCACAAGAACCAUAUGCCUUAUAGGCAGGCCAGUAUCUGCCAAUGCUUUGUCCAUUGAUCCAUAUCUGACCUUUGCCCAUGCUACUCAUGUCUAAUGCCAAUGGCUCAUUCCCAGCUGGAGCAUUAAAGAAAGCCUGGAAGAUGAUAAAGAUUAAGUGACACAAUAGUCUCAAACAUGAGAGGAAGGAAGAUGAACUUUAGGAUAACAUGUUUCUGUGUUGCAAGCAGUACUGACCUUGUACCAAGUCAAGGGCUGCUUUGUUGAUGCACCUCCCCACUCAACUGAAGAACUGCCACUAAGUGUAUGGAUGCUCAGGGAUUCACCUCUCAGGCCGAUCUACACACACAAACAUGGAACUCAGUAACCAGUAAGCAAGUUUUAGUCAGAGACUAAUGUAGGUAGGAAGAGUUGAUUGGAACCUGGUAAAUCCAUUUCUGUGAUGAAAGGUCUCUCUUUCCUUCAUUGAGACCUUCCAGAGUCACUGGACCAAGAACACCAGCAUUCCAUGUCUCAAAGUGGUUGCCAACAUUCUGAAACAGAUCAGAGAACAGAAAUCUGAUGUCUCAACAGCCAUCUUGUGUGUAUAAUUGUACAGGGUUAUUUGUAUGAUAUUUCAACUUUUCGAUCAAUGGCCAGGAAAUAUUUCACAACAAAUUAUGUACUCACAGGAAGACCAACAGCGACACUUAGAAUCGAGAUUUUGUUGCUUCCUGCCCACAACUUCACAUUUUCUCUGAAAGUCAGCUUUGGAUUGUCCAAACUACCAGAGACAGUCCCUGCCAGAAGAAAAGAAAGCAAAAGCCAAAUCGGAACCUCACCAAAUGUUGAGCAUAUCAUCAAGAAUCAAUUCUCCACAAGGCAAAGCCACUCACCAGCCCGUUCUCCAUUGAUGAAAACAUGCAUAGAAUGGCCUGCCGACAUCACAGUCAGGAAAGGGUAUCGGCCAUUCUUCAAGAAUUGUUCAUUUGAGUCUAUGUUAACACUGAAGAGUGGAGAUUGUGAGUCAUUGAGUGAUAGAUGUCAUUGAUUCUGUCUCAAAUAGACAAGCUGCAAAGGAACGUCUACUCACUAUGAAGUGUACCACAGGUAGUCUGUCCGAUCCCUUGUCAUGCUUAUCUGCUCCACCAAUCCAUCUUUUGUGAAUGAGUUAUCCCCCAGUGAGUUGGUAUCCUCACUGAAGGACUCCCAAGAAAAUCCACCAACCCAAGUCAUUUUAAUCUGUGAUGUUGGAGCUCCUACCUGUGUAUAUCAUUAGUAACUUUGUGUUAAAGACACUGUCAUGAAAAUUCAACCAUGGAAAUCCUUUUUCAUCCGAGAAAAUUUGGAAUACAUAGUGAGUUAUACAUUUUCUUUAGCCAAGAAACAAAUAACUCAAUAGAGAGGUGAGUUUUUUUAAUACAGUAGUAGAAGCAACCAUGACCGUUAAUCAUAAAAUAUUUCUCACCUUUGCAGUGUUGAACACUGAGGUUUUGCAGUCAGGAAGAAUGCUGAUGGACCAAGAUGGAAUAUUAUACUUCAUUCCAUUGAAAGUAACACUUGCAUAAGAAUGUGGGUUGAAAUUAGAAAGGAAUGCAGCACAUGAGCCUGACUUUGAUCUGUAUACAUGUGCCUGCAAGAAGUCGAAUGUAGAAAAGUUCCAAAAUGCAAAUCAUUGAAAAGAUUCCUGCAAAUUUUACAGCAAGAUAUAAGAAUUGAACCUCCUGAUAAUUUCCGAGUUUUGUCACUGUGGGAUCCCCAGACACAAGAGCUGGUUCACACAUUUUGAUUGCUUUAUGCAGGUCUCUCAGAUGUCCCCAUUUCGGCUGCCUCAACAGACCUGAGAAAGAUUAUGAUACGUUUAACACCAAAUAGAGGGAAUGGUAAUACUUGGCAUCAAAUAUAUUUGUAUUGCAUCAUCAGAUGCUUGACCAAUGAGAUUGCACAAUGUCUUCCUUGUAGAAGAGGAACAAGAUUUUGGCACCAAAAAGAAGAAAUAGGAAAAGGAGAAGCAACCUGAGUGGGAAUUGUAUUACUACUAAUCUUCUCUUAAUCUUGAAAAGAACCCAAGUAUUUGACCUAAAUAAUUCUCUAGGUGAGCAAUCACAACUUUAUACCCACGCAAGUAAAAAGAUCAUGCAUUUCUUUCUAAAAGCUGGAUGAGAUGAUCCAAAAUCACAUCUUUCUGGAAUUAUCACAAGCAUGCUAUGUGUGCAGAUGAUGAAGUCAACCAUGCCUUUUUCCUCACAUCAAAAGCUCCAAAAGGGGCAGAUCAAUGAGAAGUCAUGAGUUAAUUUAAAACCAAAUCAUUACAAAAUGAAAAUUGUUACAUAUGACACAAUCAUUGAAGAAAAACUGCAUACCGUAUUCAUCAAUUGGGGCAUCAUAGUCAUAGCUUGUCGAAAUAAAAGGACCACCAGCCGUCCUACCGAAGUUUGUUCCUCCAUGGUACUGCAGUUGACGGAAACGUGAAAAUUCUUUUACUUCAACAUGAUGUACAGCGUUCAGUAAUUACUGAAACAACUCAAGUAGAACAUACAAAUUCUUACCAUAUAGUAGUUAACGAAGGAUCCACCCUUCUGUAUAAACCUUGCAACGGCAAAAGCCAAGUCCUCAACAGGUCUGUGAGGAACUGGACCCCCGAAAGCAGUGAACCUAUUGAGAUAGAAUAUAUAAAAUAAAUUCACUAGAUCGAUUGAUUUCUUGUGAAAAUUUAUAUGAAUUCAAAUGUGAAGUAGAGGUUACCAGCCAGUCCAUGCUUCAGUCCACAUAGUAGGUUUAUAAGGCUUGUUUGGUGAGAAAUAAUCACAGUAGAACCCAUUGCAGGCAUUGAUCUGUAAAGCCAAGAUCCAAAAAUAAUAUCACAAUAAGUCAACUUAGCUGGUGUAACAGGGAAUUACAAUUACUCUAAUUGGUGCAGCUGUAACGUAAGUAGAAGAAAGUGUUGUUGAACAGGACAGGGUAAAGGAGGAACAUGAAUUUGGUGUUGUUCCUGAUAUGACAGAACAAUAAAACCGAAAUCUUGAACUUACCACUGGAUCAGGUGCAUCAUCUUGCUUGCACAUGACCCACGGCACACCGGUGUUGAGACCCACUGCCAUUUGAGCAGCCCAGCUUAGGUAGUUCUUGGCUGCAGUUCCGCCAUAGUACUCCACUGGACCAUAUUCGUUUUCAAUCUGCUCAAGUUAGACAGAGCAUGGAAGAGCAGAAAGCGAUUUAGAUGAGAUCUUUGGGAGCUGAUCAAUGACACAUAAAAGCUAACGAAUUGAUGAAAACAAAGAAGGAAAGGAUUCAAUGAUACCUGAGAGAGGAUAAUGGGACCACCCUGUGAUUCAAAUAAUCCUUCAGACUUCAUCAUGGCGACAAUCUUCUCUGUGAACUUCGCCAUGGCCGCCUUUUACAUGAACAGACCAAUUAGCAAUUGCUCGGUUAGAGGAGAUCGAGUAUAAACAUAUAAAGUGAAGUUCCUGUGGAUUCUUACCUUGAAAGGUCCAUUGUCGGUCCUGAAAUUGAUGCCAGGAACAUAUUUUAGCCAGACAGGAAAUCCCCUGUUUUACAAAGACAAGAUGAACAACAGAACAACAUCAUCAGAUUGCAUGAUUAGGCUUUUGAUUCCACAUAGAAGAAUUAAUCGAAGACCUCGUACCCAAAGUUCCAUUCGGCACAAACAUAAGGACCAAUCCGGAGAUGAACAUAGAGGCCGGCCUGCUUCACCAGCUUGAUGAAGCGAACCAGGUCGUAAUUACCACCAAAAUAAUACUGCCAAAGAUCAAGAAAAGCAACAAAUUGAGGCACACUGUGGGAAGGGGCAGUAGCCUUGGACGAGAGGGCUGGGAAAGUUUGGGUGAUCUCCGAACCUGACCAGGGGACGGCUCGUGGCCGUUCCAGAACACAUAGGUCUGGAUAACAUCCAAGCCGCCAUCUUUAGCCUUCUGGAUAAGAUCCGGCCACAUCUGGAGACGAUCCAAUCGACAAAGUUCAGAUUUUGGCACAGUAGAAUCACAGUGUACGAACAGCUCACCAGAAAGGCCACAUUUUCCACAGAGUUGGAAAUCUUACCUCCGGGGUGCUCCUGGGGUAGUGAAUGGAACCGGAGAUUAGAAUCCUCCUCUGCCCAUUGAUGAUGAUAGCCUUGUGGUCGUAUGAAACGGAGGCAUCGACCGGAGAGGAAAGCCACGGCGGCGACACCACCACCAACGUCACCGCCAGUAGCAGCAGCGUCGACAGUCUGCGGCCGCACCCAAGCGUCAUAGGCUCGAGGCCCUUGGUGGCCGGUCGGUCUUAGUUUCAAAGGAGUCUCCUUUAGUGUCCUGGCCGUAUAAUCUAUGUAUGAUAGAUCGGUGCGCUCUGUUCGUCCGUCUUCUCCUCUGCUAGAGAAGAUUUGGUGGAACUAUUGAACAGUAGCGGCACUGUAACAAGCACACACCGAGGAAGAAAGAGGGAGAUCAAAGUGGAGGGAGGGAAGAGGGAGUGAUGGGGGGGCUGUGGAGCGGGAGCAGGGGGUGGUGCCCUUGCGGUUUAAUACCCGAGGGCCGAAGGCGAGAACACGAUUGGCGCCGGAACAUGAGGACCCCACAGCCCCACCCACUAACGUGGAUGCUUGACUCACGUUUUCCUCCGUUCCCCGUGAACAGCUUAUCAGGAAUUUUCUUGCACCUAAAAAAGAAAAAUCACAUGGAAAAAGAUGGGUAGAAUUUUACAUGUGAUUACCUCAGAUGAGGUCAAUACACAUUGGGAGUUAGGGAUCUGCGUGCCAUCAAGUUUGGACUCUCUCUGAUGAGCACACUACUCUAAUCCUGAGGCUAAAUAGUGGUUUAAGCUAAACAAAACUAAUAAUUUAAUUAUCCUUUCAACAACUCUCAUGGCUCUUCCGUUCCACUGCAACAUUGAGACUUCGAACCAGACGCCACAAGGAACCGUCGAGCAUGCAAAGGUACGAGAGCUUGUUCUUUUCCUCUGUUUCUUGUGGCCGUGAGCAGCAGCAGCAGCAGUCCUCCCGCGAAUUCAAACACAUUUGAACCCCAAAGGAGCUGCCACCCCUGCAACCCAUACGUAGGCUGUUAAAUCCCACCCAGAAAAGAAGGGAACUGCCUGCAUGUACUGACCAACCACACACACCUCAAAUGCUUCAGCAACUCCCAACACACCAUCGAGCCGCAGCAGGAGUGUACUCCAACCCGUGCUCUGCUUCCUCCUGCAUGAAAAAGAAGGGUAGAAAAGGUUAACUUUGUCAGUGAAAGUAACAUGCGAGAGUUUAGUUUAAUCUCUUUGUGAGAGGUUUAGUUUGGUCAGUUAAGGAGGCAUCUUGUUCUUCUUUAUCAUGCUCAUUGUUUCAAGCUUUGGUCAUCAGUUUCUUCUAUAGGAUUACAGCUCUUUUAGGUACAGCUUUAGACCUUGCAUGCAUGGGCACCUGCAUCAAAGUCUUGAAGAAGACAUUGCACCAACUGAGCCUACCCAUAUGGACUAACAACAGCCACCACAAAAGCUGUAGUAGUUGUAGUAGUAUUCCUCCUACCAGUUCUCUUGCGUGACUCAUUGUUUCAGAGUAUGUGGCACCCGCAUCAAACUCUGGAAAGAGAUUGCUGGAUGAAUUCAUUGUGUCAUCAGACUUUUUGAAUGGGUUAGAUAACAUGUGUUUUGUUGUUUCUUAGCCAAUUAGAUUGAUCUGGAAGAUAAAUGUAAUGAAGGAUGGAGGGAUCAGACCUUCAUUAGAUUAAUCUUUCAUAUUGUUAAUAACCUAUUAUUUUCCUCACAUUCCAUGUUCUUGUUGGUUCCAUUUGGUUUGGGUGAGGGAAUCUCAUUAUAAAUACUGACCUUGCAAGAGACAUGCCCCUAAAUCACCUCCCUCAACUUGGGGGUGCAUUAACAACUCUAUCCACAUACUAUUUAUCUACCAAACACACACAAGCAAUUUGGUCUCCCUACCUGAUUUUUAGGAUCCUAGUGCCAUCUUAUCUGUCAUCAUGUAGUCACCUUAGUCGAGAGGCAGCAGUCUCAACUACCAUUACAGUUCAUCUUCUUUCUCUGACUCCAAUCUGAAGAAGAGAACAUCAUUGUGGAACUGAGCUGAAGCGAUUUGGCACAUAAUUAACUGUCUUUGUUUAGGUUCGUCUUGGUUUCAAUUAAAGGGGAAUCAUCUUCUGAUGUGACCAUGAUAUUUGGCAGCCGAGGUUGCACAGAUAGAUGAAGAACUUCUUCACGCUACUGCAUGGAGUGAUGAAGACCCCAUCAAAGAAACAAGAGAAACUGAUUGAUGGAAACCCAUUGCGUAGGGUAAGAGAAGAAGAGAAGGAGAAGAAGGCCGUCGAGAAGGUAGGGAUGGAUUUCAUUGGUGUCAUUAUCCUUUAAUUGUUGGGGUAUUUCCAUAGAAGAUUUGACUCCUUAUACUCAACUUUCAGCUUGAAGACGACCAGCUCAUAACUGAGCACUUCAUGGCUGGCCUGUGUUUGAUGGGCCAAUUAGUCCAAAUCAAACCACAUUAUCUCAUUGAAAGGUAAUCAAAGGAAAUGGUUUGAACUGAAUUUUCAAAAAGAGAUUUUGAGGUCUAAAACAACAAAAUAAGCCAUUAGCUGUUUUUUUAGCAGAAGAGAACAAUGGAUUUCUUUUUGUUCUUUUGCUUCAUUAAUUCUUCCACUUGAUUAAGAAUCUCAAUAAAUUAUUCAACGAGUUGUGCAAUCUCUUCUUAUCAGCAUAAACAGAGUCCAAGAAAGUGGACUCUCUCACCACUUCAAGCGAGCUUCUCCUCUAUCCAUUUUGGAUGAGAGCAACCUGGUGUUGUCAAAAGUGAGCAGCAAUUGCAACGUAGAUCUAAGGAUAAACAAUUGCUUGUUGGCCAUUGUUCUUGUCAUUCCUAACACGAACCUUUGUAUCACUCAUGUAUUCAUGUAUGAAGCUACUCUCACUUCCACAAAUCUUGGCCCACAAGGCCAUCCUAUCCUUCUUUCUCGAGAAGCUUACGUCUCUGUUCUUCUUGUUAUGUGUCCAAAAGAAAAUAAAGACAGAAAGGGAAAGGAAGGAAAAGAAACAUGAGUGGCCACCACUGCAUUUUGUCAAAUCAUGAUAUGCUCAUCUCACAAAAUGUUCCAGAGGCAAACCUAUCCAUGCACAUCUCUGCUUAUCUUCCACUCCUAGUCAUCACCACACUCAUACUUAUCUAUUUCUUGCAAGAAACAACUCAACUCACAAGAUUUUGAUGCAGGGAAUCUCACUGUUUAGAAUCUAGACACUCAACUCCGCAACUGCUUUUGUUCUUAGCCACUUUCGGUUCCUUUUUCGGGUGAGUGUUUGGAUCUGAUCUCAUCUCCAAGUCUUAAAUUAGCAAACUGUUGGCAAACUUUAGGUUCACUUGCUCGGAAUCUGAUCAACACAAUCCAAACAAGUUAGCAAACUGACUUCAUCUCCAUGUCUUUAAACAGAAUCAACCAAGUCAUAACUCAAGGAAGUAUACAUUGAUGGUCCCACGCCACACAUGGUUGGAGCUUUCAUUAGCCGACUGCUGCAUUACAUUCAUUCUGCAACCUCUCCGAAGGGAUAAGGCUUGUUUGAAGGGAAACAAUUCCUGCGCAUAUUCUUUGAGGAGAAAAGGAAAAAAAAUAAGAAUAAGAGAAAGAGAUAAAUGCAAGAGUUCUAUCGGAAGAAGCAAUUGAAACCAGAGACAUGCAAGAGUAGGCCACCUCUCUCUCCUUAUCCCUUGGGGACAGGAGUCCGCCACACUUGCAGCUGGCUUGUUGAUGACGGGUCAUGGAGCUGUCAACCUCAUCCCACUAAUUCUGCAUGACAUCUUUAGUAGGUUGAUUUGAGCUGAUAUCAAGUUAUAUUUCAGUGAUCAUUCAGCUGAAACAUUAAGCUUAAACAGCAUAUUCAGAUACAGAAGACCAUUGAGAUGUUUGAGGUGUGUGUUGAGAGAAACAACAAUAUAUGAGAAUGAAGAACACAACUGGCUGGUUUGCCAGUGGAUAAAGUUUGGAGUCGACAUCGAGGAUGCAGGUCUGCUACGACACCACAAAAGACUAUUGACUUAUUUUGAGGUCAGUAUCGACUGCUUGAUCUAUCCACACCCGACAUUGGUCAUCCUGCAACAGCUUUUUCUACCUCAAAAGACUCGAAUUCUUUCCUGGAUAACGGCAUACAAAGAAAUCUUUCUCAAAAUCUACAAGAUUUUGACCAGAUUGCUUGACAUGAAGUAAACAGGAGUAAUUUGGGUUAAGAAAUGCAGGUACUCAAUUAUUUGUCAAUCUCAAAUCAUUCUUGAAGAUGAUGCUGAUGCUUUUAGCUGAUAAAUCUUGCAAGACUUUCAUGUACUUCUUGGCCACAGUACCAUCUUCGACCAAGUCAUUGAUCUCUACAGACUUUGAUGGUGACAAAGUCUUAUCCACUCUUUCCUUUAAUCUAACUAAUCCAAGGAUGAUCUCAUCACUGGUGAGGGGAGAGAUUGUUUUCAUGAAACAAAUCCUGAUCAUCAAGAUCUUGAAUUUGAUUGUAGAAAUUAUGAAUAUAAAUAUAUAGUCAUUUAGCAUAAGGUCUUCAACUUGAUUUAGAUUUGAACUUUUCAACAUUGGAAAAGGUGGAAGAGAAAGAAAAAGGUUUACUUGUUUUGUUAUUAUGUGUUCAAAAAGCAUCCCAAAGUCAUAUUAGGAAAAAAUAUAUAAAAAGUAUUAACAUAAAUGGUAGAAAAUCAUGUUUCUCUCCCAAUGACCAGAGAGAAGAUUAAAAUACUUCAAACAACAUCAAAUUUAAUGAGGAAUUGACUUUAGAACAGAAAAUAAAAUCAUUUUUCUCAAAAAUCAACAAAUUUAUUUUGUAAAAUAAAAGGAAGAAAUGAGGGAUUAAAGAUCACUGAGAGAAGAAAAAAAACAUUUCACAAAAUAUUAAGGUCCCACCGAGAUUUGAACUCGUGUUACUGGAUUCAGAGUCCAAUGUCCUAACCACUAGACCAUGGGACCAGCUGUGAACGUUUUCAUACAAAAUAAUAUUAAUUAUAUAUUUAUAAAGCAUGCCUAAGGAGAAUCAGAUUCAGCUAAUGUAUUCUGUGGAUGUAACACCAAAACAAAUGGUUUGAUUUAGAAACAAUUUUUAUGUGCUAAUACCUGCAAAAGUCAUCUCCAUCAGCAAAAAGUUCCAAUAAUUGUUCAAAAAUGGAAUGGCUUAUUGCAUCACAAACACAUUCCCAGCGAAGAGACUCUAAUUUAUAUCCUAGCUCAUAUAUAUAAUAACUGAAGGCAAAUAAUGAACACAAUGAACAAACAUACUUGAGAACAAUGGAAUUUGCCUGCAGAAAGGAAAGGAGAAAACAAGAUGAUUGCUAUGGCAGAUGAUCUUGGGAUCUACAUUAGUGACUCAUCUGCAUAUUCUUUCUGAGAUGAAAUAUAAGUUUGAAGUUUAUAGUAUGCUGCAAAAGAUCUUUCGUUCUAAUUUUCUGAAGAAUAGAGAGUUAAGCUUGACUUAAUUUAACAGCCCGCAGAAGAACUUGAUGGAAAGGGCAUUGACAAAUAAGAAAAGCCAGGAGUUGGUCAUAAAUGUUCAAUUUGGAAUUACUAGAUGAGCACUCAAUUUUUCAAUACAUUAUAACAAAUCAAAGAGGAACACUGCAGAUUCUCACCUGGACACUAAUUCAUCCAAGCACUGGAAAUUUAUGUACAUAAAAUAAGUUGUUGUGUGAGACUGGCAUUCAAAAACAGAGUUUGUUAAAAAAAUGAACACUGAGCAAAACAAGGUAAGCCACCUAUUUUCUCCUAAGAAACCAUCAAAAUCAACAUUAAACUAAGGUAACUUUACCCAAAACCUGGAGGCACAUCAGGGUCCUCAUCGCUGACACCAACUGGAAUGAUGGAAGAAUUAACCGGUGGACCAAAACCAGGUGGCACAGCAUCAAUCUGUUCUGGGUCAUUAAGCGCUUCAUUUGAUGAGUGUGGUUGCUCAUCAUGAAGCAUCAUAGCGUGUUCAACUUUGCUGCUUGGCUGAUCAGUUGAACAAAAUCCUGGCGGUACUUCCAUUUGUUCAUUUCCAUCAGACACAUUCGUCUCACAUGUAGAAGGUGCUACGAGAGAAGCUUGAUCCUUUUCGUCACCAACAAGUAGUCUUUUUUGAGGAGAAACGCUGUCUUGUUUAUUCACUUCUGGUUUAACAAUUCUAUCAUAUACAGACUCCACAGUACCUCUAAUAUCAUUUUCACAUGAUUUGAUAACCUUCCACACCUCAUCUGAAAUUUGUCCCAUGAUUUUGCUUCUGCAGAAAUAGUACUUUGUCAUAUCAGUUGCAGAUGGCAGCCUCAGAGCUCAGAACUCUCACUUCAAGAAUUACAUAGUGUCAUAAUACAAUAUAAACUAGUGAUGAUCAACUUAUAGUUGUUCGAUGCUUACCCAAGCUCUUGAUAAAUAGCAUCAGAAAGUUGUCUUAGCUUCAAUUUCUCAGAACCAUCUUCAUUAAGUACCAUUGAUUGUCUCACCUCGGAUACAAUGCUGCUACGCAGUUCCUCCUGUAAAAAAUACCACAUUCAGCUACAGCUACAUAAAUAUAUUAAUUAAUAAAAAUUAUAUAACAAACAAAAUAUCAUAGAAACUAGUACUACGAGUUCACAAUGUCAGUUGCAAACAUCUCAUAAUUCCAACAAUGGUAAUAGAUACAUGGAUCAAGCCCAACCUCCAUAAUUGGAUUGUCAUGCAAAAGUAUUAGUUGUAUGCAAAUGAUAAAUUUUGACACCAGUAAAGGACAUUAUUAUAGUCAUGGCUUCUACCACUAUGGAAUCUAGGAAAAAUUAGCGGUAUGAAGCUUUAGCCUCAUAUAAAGAGGUUAAAUUCUGCAGACACAAGAAAAAAGAGACACAAUUAAGAUUGCCUUGAUAUAAGAUGAAAAACAAAUAAUUAGUUGUUGCUCUACCAUCCUAGGACUCAGAAGUUCUGAUCUUAGAGAGAGCAAUGAAGUGGGUGUAAAAACAAACUAGAAGUACAUUUAAGGGAGCAAUCAAGUGGCUAUGGUGACAAUGUUCCUAGUAGAUCAUGUGUGUCCAACUUGGAUCUCAAUGCAGUUUCAUAUGAUGCAAAAUCAGUAACCUCUCGUUAGUCAUGACAAGUCAAGAAUAAUAUAUAACUUGAUAAAAGGUACUGUUAAGCUAAAUGAACAAACAAAUUAACUUAAUUCUAAAAGAACUCAGGUUAGCUAAACACCUUAGUCGACCAUGUUAACAUGGCUGCUUCUAGUAUUCUCUUCAGUUUCAUGUUCUCAUCUAUUCUUUAACAUCUCACCAUUGUCCAAGCCCAAAAAUUAUCAUUCAGCACAUAUCAAAGGGCAUCCACAACAUUUUAAAAACAUAUUUUUUUAUUACUAGAGUUUAUUAGCAUUUUAAUAUUAUAUAAUACAAUAAACAACGAACGUUAGGAUCUGGAAGCAAAGAACUUGCAACAACUUUUUCAAGAAAAAAAUAAAUUAAUCAGCAACAGAAAAAUGCUUUAUUAAACAUAUCCGAUUCUAACAGCUUACUCUAUGAAUUUAACUAGUUUAAAACAACAAAAGAAUGAAACCAAUAACAACAACUUAGAGUUGCAUGCCAAAUUUGAUCUAAAAUCCUUUCAAGACUGCUAGUUGCCUGUCGUUCCAAUGUCCAGAUGAUGUUAGGACAUCAACAAUAUAAAUAUAAUACAUGAAUAUCUUCCACAUGAUUAUAAGAGUUACCAUCGACUUCUGGCACUCAUAAACAAACUACCCCAGGGCAAUUAUAUCAGUCCCAACUAUUUUCUGAUACAAUACAGUUAAAUCAAAACCUACCUAAUUGAAUAGCUAUUUUAAUAUGGGUAAUUGCUUGAAACAGCUAGGGCAUUAUGCAUAAGGGACCUCCUCAUUUCCAAGGUCUGAUGUUUCUAUGCCCUAAAAAUAUCUUCACUGCCAUCAUUUGUUCUCCUACUCUCCAUUUGUUUUAUCUUUCUUCCAAAGCUCUUCUUAGAGCAUUUUCUUCCCCAAUCUGUGAGUCAUACUAACUUAAGCAUGGAGGAGGAUCCCGCCAAGCACAACCGCGGUGCUAGUACAAAGUGUCCUAGCAAUGAAAAAGCUUACUACACGCCCUUGUUGGCACUUGGCGCCACCAAAGCUUCUUCCAAGAUCAACUCCAUGUCACAUUCAAGAGCUUCCUAAGCAUCACAAAACCUCAUGAAACAAUUUUCCGGAACAGUUCCAUGUUUGGCAAUGAAUAAAGCAGAUGCGAAUUGGAGAAAGUUCCGCUUCACAUCAACGAAGGGAUCAGAGGUGGCAAUUUGAUGAAAAACCAAACAAUGCCAAACUCAUACAAUUCUCAUCCAAUAAUGAAGAAAAGGCGCACAAAAGGAAGAAUCUUUCGGCAAACUCACAUUUUCUUUAACUUUGCGGAUGAUCUUGAGACGGAGGGAGUCGAAGUCACCGUCAUCCUUCAGCCUCGCGAUCACCUCCUCCGCAGUCGGCCGCCUUUCGCCGUUCUCCAUACACCCGUCUCCCCGAUCUCAACCACGGUCGGACAGAUCGAAACCCUAAUUUCCUCCGAUCCCAAGAGGCCUCUUUUAACGAUCUCACUCCGACUCCGGGAGAGUCAAGGAUCCGCUGCAGUCAUACGACGGAGGCUAUACUAAUCGAAGCGAGCCCGGUCCAGUAACAUCUGGACCGGACCAAAUGAAGGCCCGCUUCCUUGGAAUUUUAAGAACCCCAAAUAAAGGCCUGAUUCGAGACGAUCCUACAAUUGGCUACCGAAACCAUGCUACGUAACAUGGUCGAUCAAACGAUGUCAAUUAAUGCACCGAUGACGAGAGCAUUCCAGAUCUACAAAUCUACCACAGCAAAGCGCGGGUCCCACCAGAGUCCACAUCACCCGAGCAACUUAUCCAUGGUGACUAACGCUCGCACGUAACCCUUGAAAAAAGAGUCUUGGAGCACUUGUGUAACCUCAACGAUCCAUUACUGCACUUAUCUUGUGGACGUUGCACUCGAUCGAUCGAAUCGAACUGAGUAAUAAAAGAAAUCCAAGAUUAAUUAGGAUGCAAGCAAACUAGUGCAAAUCCAUCUGCUGAUUCAUCAUCAACUUCAACCAUCAGUCAAAAAGAUGGGUAAUGAUCAGCAAUGCACCAAACAUUCUUGUUAUAUAUGUAUUCAUCUGAGCACUAAAUCACCUACAGAAACUAGCAGAUGUAGCCCUCGUUUAUCAUGCUGAGGAUCUCAGUGUUCAACCCUUUUCCAUCAAGCUACCAGUAUUCUUCAUUCCACUGUCAACCUGAGAUGGUGUCUUGAGCACCCUAGCUAUGAAUCUAGCUCAACAAUGUCGAUUGCAUCUGGUUCUUUUCAUACAUAUAGUCUUAGCAGCCAUAGUCUCCCAAGCAAUUCAACAAUGACUUGGUCACAAACAAAUCCAUCAAAAUCUCACAGAAUCUAAAAAGGAUUUUAAGUAUUGACUGGCCAGUUUAGACAAUUGAACCCACUACUACUACUCCCACUGAUAAAUGUCAUCCAACCUUGUAGAUUUCCACAGGUGGCAUGUGUCCCACCCUUACUGUCAAUUAAUGACAGCUUGAACCGAUCAUAAUUCUCUUCAUAUCUUUGUGAAAUUUCAUGCAAUAACUGGAUCAUAAGAAUGUUUGUUACAGCCAAGUUUCUCGUCUUUGUUAGCAUGCAGAUCAGCCAAAUUAAGGCUUAAGCUAAUAGAUGCAACAGGAUAUGUCAUUAUCUUUGUGCACCCAAAGAAAAAGUGUUUCUUUUUGGUACAAGCCAAAGUGGUGUUCUACUAGAGCUCUACGUCAUGAGUGGAUUCUUCUACCCAUAUAAGAAGAAGAAGAAGAAGAAGAAAGCUCAAGGACAUCAUCAUAUCUUGAGAAGAUUCCACCUCUACCAAGGUAGACAAAGACUUGACACACAUAAAGAAACAUGUCACACCAUGAGAGCACUACAUUGGAUGUAAACCGGCAAAGGAGACCCCAUGUUUUGAGCAGGAAACAUGCAGCUGGGAUAAAACAGAUGCUUCUCCCCCAAACUGCUGCAAAGUAGAAUGUAAAGGAUUUCUUGUUCGGUCCCCAAGGAAGAUUUCUUCUGAACAGGUAACCUAGCACACAAUGCUGACUGCUGAGGACAAGCAGACCUAUGAGGACAAGAAUGGGGCAGGCAUGUGGCCGUCGCUAGCACACAGGAACAAGAUUGCUGAAUCCUAAUCCACAAAACCAUGGUUACUUGCAUGAUAAGCUUAUAUAUUCUUACACACAACCCCACAUGGAGUGUUGCUGACUUUACAGACACAAGAAGAAGAUGGUGGUGUUUUAGUGGCCAUGCUGUUUGGUUGGGAGUUGGGAGUUGGGAGUUGCUUUAGUUACUGAAACUCACAAGGUGUGCAGAGAAAGUGAAGAUGCAAUGCAUUCUCUCCAAACAAUGAUGUAAAAGCCUUAGUGUGUUUGGAUAAUUAGAGUUCAAAUGCUGUUGGACAUAGCACUAUUUAUUCUAUUAUUUUGUUGGUGGCCCUUACUGAAAUCAUAUUGUCCUUCAAACAAGUAGCAAUCAAUGUGCAACAACUUUUUUUGUCACAUUUCAUUAAGAUAGAGCUAAAAAAUAUAGCUUAUCAUCA